rnacentral:rRNA from 1 species
UACGUAGGGGGGCAAGCGUUGUCCGGAUUUAUUGGGCGUAAAGAGCGUGUAGGCGGCCAUACAGGUCAGCUGUGAAAACUCGAGGCUCAACCUCGAGACGUCGGUUGAAACCGUUUGGCUAGAGUCCGGAAGAGGAGAGUGGAAUUCCCCGGUGUAGCGGUGAAAUGCGCAGAUAUCGGGAAGAACACCCGUGGCGAAGGCGGCUCUCUGGGACGGUACUGACGCUGAGACGCGAAAGCGUGGGGAGCAAACAGG